GCUUUUGGGUGUUGGACAACCAUAGGCAAAACUGAAAUGGAACAGGGGCAGAAAAUAGCACACUUUUACUCUACGCAACUGUUGCUUUUUCAUGAUCUUCAGGAAUUUUACUGGGAUAAUUAUCCAAAUAAAUUGCAAGCAUUCUAUCCAAAUGGACAUCCAUAAAAAUUCAUCAGAGAGCAUUUUACUACUGAGCUGCAAAGGGAAAAACUUAAAAUGGAUAUGAAAAGUGAAGAAAGUGAUCAUAGGAGAAAACCAUUUCAGAUGACAAGAGCACCUCAAAGGCAGCAGCCUCAAGGAGCAGCCAUGGCCCCAGACUUGUCGCACGGAUGCAGAAAACUUAAUGGAGGAGGCUGAGCAAAACAGAGCGUGACACUCCCAAUCAUCUGCAUGCUGGAAAUGAGGAAAUGGUUAUUGAAUGAUACAAGUGCUUUUCGAUCAUUUAGAAAGUUCUGUUUCCCAAGAUCUUUUUUUUUUUUUUUUUU
rnacentral:lncRNA from 10 species